UUCUCCUAUGUUUAUGUUUACACGUUUUGUUCAGACUGCUUUACACCCCAAUCCAGUGGGUGGCGGUAAUGCCCCCAUUAGACCCCUUUCACUGACGUCACCCGAAACCGGAAGUAAACAAACCCUGCGCCAUAUUGGAAGACCAACAAACUCGUGAUUAGGGGGAAAUAAUGGCAGCGUGCGGUAUGUGAACCCACGAGGCACUUGGUUCAUCAAAAACCUACAAUGGUAAACUUUUGUGCUGUGUUAGGGUGUUCUAACAAAGCUGAUGGGAAAGGUGAAAAGAAGUCUUUCUACAGAAUACCAGCUGUGAUUGAGACACAAGCAAACCAAGGAGCUUUCUGCCAGGAGACAGAGAGAGGAUUUAGCUGCUUUAUGCAGAGCGGAUCUGAAUACUUCAAGUCUAUUUUGUUACUGGCAUGAUAUAAAAAAGGGCCAGUACGUAUACGUAGCGAUAUGUCGUUGGAUGUCCCACGCUGUCCCAUAAUGCAGUGCGAUUACCACUGCUGUUUACUGGAUGACGUCAUUUUCGUUAUAUACCUGGGUGCACGUGAAACUCCCACACCACUCAGUUGGAUCGCGACUCUCUUGUGGAUCGGUCUGCUGUUACGCUUGGACCAUUGAAACAACAUUGAGAAAAACACUGGACCACGCUACAUUUUCAUUCAUCCCUGGACAUCUGGUGUCUACCUUAGCCCUUUGUGGAGGAACCGACGUAGGGGUCACAGUGAGGCGGAUGCUGCGUAGCCUCCU